rnacentral:rRNA from 1 species
CCUACGGGAGGCAGCAGUGGGGAAUAUUGCACAAUGGGGGAAACUCUGAUGCAGCGACGCCGCGUGAGUGAAGAAGGAUCUCGGUAUGUAAAGCUCUAUCAGUAGGGAAGUAAAUGGCGGUACGUGUUUAUUAAGCCACGGCUAACUACGUGACAGCAGCCGCGGUAAUACGGAGGCGGCAAGCGUUAUCCGGAUUUACUGGGUGUAAAGGGAGCGUAGAUGGGAGGACAAGUCAGGAGUGAAAGUCCGGGGCUUAACCCCGGAAUUGCAAUGGAAACUGUGCGGUUAGAGUGCAGGAGAGGUAGGUGGAAUUCCUGGUGUAGCGGUGAAAUGCGUAGAUAUUAGGAAGAACACCGAUUGCGAAGGCAGCUUACUAAACUGUAACUGACGUUGAGGCUCGAAAGCGUGGGGAGCAAACAGGAUUAGAUACCCUUGUAGUC